GGUUAAGCGACUAAGCGUACACGGUGGAUGCCCUGGCAGUCAGAGGCGAUGAAGGACGUGCUAAUCUGCGAUAAGCGUCGGUAAGGUGAUAUGAACCGUUAUAACCGGCGAUUUCCGAAUGGGGAAACCCAGUGUGUUUCGACACACUAUCAUUAACUGAAUCCAUAGGUUAAUGAGGCGAACCGGGGGAACUGAAACAUCUAAGUACCCCGAGGAAAAGAAAUCAACCGAGAUUCCCCCAGUAGCGGCGAGCGAACGGGGAGCAGCCCAGAGCCUGAAUCAGUGUGUGUGUUAGUGGAAGCGUCUGGAAAGGCGCGCGAUACAGGGUGACAGCCCCGUACACAAAAAUGCACAUACUGUGAGCUCGAUGAGUAGGGCGGGACACGUGGUAUCCUGUCUGAAUAUGGGGGGACCAUCCUCCAAGGCUAAAUACUCCUGACUGACCGAUAGUGAACCAGUACCGUGAGGGAAAGGCGAAAAGAACCCCGGCGAGGGGAGUGAAAAAGAACCUGAAACCGUGUACGUACAAGCAGUGGGAGCACGCUUCGGCGUGUGACUGCGUACCUUUUGUAUAAUGGGUCAGCGACUUAUAUUCUGUAGCAAGGUUAACCGAAUAGGGGAGCCGAAGGGAAACCGAGUCUUAACUGGGCGUUAAGUUGCAGGGUAUAGACCCGAAACCCGGUGAUCUAGCCAUGGGCAGGUUGAAGGUUGGGUAACACUAACUGGAGGACCGAACCGACUAAUGUUGAAAAAUUAGCGGAUGACUUGUGGCUGGGGGUGAAAGGCCAAUCAAACCGGGAGAUAGCUGGUUCUCCCCGAAAGCUAUUUAGGUAGCGCCUCGUGAAUUCAUCUCCGGGGGUAGAGCACUGUUUCGGCAAGGGGGUCAUCCCGACUUACCAACCCGAUGCAAACUGCGAAUACCGGAGAAUGUUAUCACGGGAGACACACGGCGGGUGCUAACGUCCGUCGUGAAGAGGGAAACAACCCAGACCGCCAGCUAAGGUCCCAAAGUCAUGGUUAAGUGGGAAACGAUGUGGGAAGGCCCAGACAGCCAGGAUGUUGGCUUAGAAGCAGCCAUCAUUUAAAGAAAGCGUAAUAGCUCACUGGUCGAGUCGGCCUGCGCGGAAGAUGUAACGGGGCUAAACCAUGCACCGAAGCUGCGGCAGCGACACUAUGUGUUGUUGGGUAGGGGAGCGUUCUGUAAGCCUGUGAAGGUGUACUGUGAGGUAUGCUGGAGGUAUCAGAAGUGCGAAUGCUGACAUAAGUAACGAUAAAGCGGGUGAAAAGCCCGCUCGCCGGAAGACCAAGGGUUCCUGUCCAACGUUAAUCGGGGCAGGGUGAGUCGACCCCUAAGGCGAGGCCGAAAGGCGUAGUCGAUGGGAAACAGGUUAAUAUUCCUGUACUUGGUGUUACUGCGAAGGGGGGACGGAGAAGGCUAUGUUGGCCGGGCGACGGUUGUCCCGGUUUAAGCGUGUAGGCUGGUUUUCCAGGCAAAUCCGGAAAAUCAAGGCUGAGGCGUGAUGACGAGGCACUACGGUGCUGAAGCAACAAAUGCCCUGCUUCCAGGAAAAGCCUCUAAGCAUCAGGUAACAUCAAAUCGUACCCCAAACCGACACAGGUGGUCAGGUAGAGAAUACCAAGGCGCUUGAGAGAACUCGGGUGAAGGAACUAGGCAAAAUGGUGCCGUAACUUCGGGAGAAGGCACGCUGAUAUGUAGGUGAAGUCCCUCGCGGAUGGAGCUGAAAUCAGUCGAAGAUACCAGCUGGCUGCAACUGUUUAUUAAAAACACAGCACUGUGCAAACACGAAAGUGGACGUAUACGGUGUGACGCCUGCCCGGUGCCGGAAGGUUAAUUGAUGGGGUUAGCGGUAACGCGAAGCUCUUGAUCGAAGCCCCGGUAAACGGCGGCCGUAACUAUAACGGUCCUAAGGUAGCGAAAUUCCUUGUCGGGUAAGUUCCGACCUGCACGAAUGGCGUAAUGAUGGCCAGGCUGUCUCCACCCGAGACUCAGUGAAAUUGAACUCGCUGUGAAGAUGCAGUGUACCCGCGGCAAGACGGAAAGACCCCGUGAACCUUUACUAUAGCUUGACACUGAACAUUGAGCCUUGAUGUGUAGGAUAGGUGGGAGGCUUUGAAGUGUGGACGCCAGUCUGCAUGGAGCCGACCUUGAAAUACCACCCUUUAAUGUUUGAUGUUCUAACGUUGACCCGUGAUCCGGGUUGCGGACAGUGUCUGGUGGGUAGUUUGACUGGGGCGGUCUCCUCCUAAAGAGUAACGGAGGAGCACGAAGGUUGGCUAAUCCUGGUCGGACAUCAGGAGGUUAGUGCAAUGGCAUAAGCCAGCUUGACUGCGAGCGUGACGGCGCGAGCAGGUGCGAAAGCAGGUCAUAGUGAUCCGGUGGUUCUGAAUGGAAGGGCCAUCGCUCAACGGAUAAAAGGUACUCCGGGGAUAACAGGCUGAUACCGCCCAAGAGUUCAUAUCGACGGCGGUGUUUGGCACCUCGAUGUCGGCUCAUCACAUCCUGGGGCUGAAGUAGGUCCCAAGGGUAUGGCUGUUCGCCAUUUAAAGUGGUACGCGAGCUGGGUUUAGAACGUCGUGAGACAGUUCGGUCCCUAUCUGCCGUGGGCGCUGGAGAACUGAGGGGGGCUGCUCCUAGUACGAGAGGACCGGAGUGGACGCAUCACUGGUGUUCGGGUUGUCAUGCCAAUGGCACUGCCCGGUAGCUAAAUGCGGAAGAGAUAAGUGCUGAAAGCAUCUAAGCACGAAAUUUGCCCCGAGAUGAGUUCUCCCUGACUCCUUGAGAGUCCUGAAGGAACGUUGAAGACGACGACGUUGAUAGGCCGGGUGUGUAAGCGCAGCGAUGCGUUGAGCUAACCGGUACUAAUGAACCGUGAGGCUUAACCUUACAACGCCGAAGGUGUUUUG
rnacentral:rRNA from 2 species